rnacentral:lncRNA from 1 species
GCAGUAAUUAUGCAGUUUGCCACGCGGGAUUCAUUUCUGGGUAGCAGUUGUACUACAGCACAUAAACCGGAGCACCCACAGAAUGCUUUCAAGUCAUGCCAAGAAGCCCCGAAUGCAAAACAAGUAAACGAAAAAUGCACCAGCAUUGCAAAAUCUACUAGAGAAACAGCAAUGUUGUGAUCGAUGCAGAGCUGCGGGCUGCCUUACCGUGUUUCCCAUGGAUAAGCAUUACUCACCUUUAAGGAAGGGAGAAUGAUGGCAGUUAUCUUAAAGCAGUGGAAGCGUAACAUGUCCAUGUUACUGAAGGCGAUGCGAAGCCCGUCUCGCAAUGUGAGUUUCUAUAUGGCAUUGACAGUGAGGAACAGCCUUAGCAGACAUUGCGUGUUCCUUUGUUGAGCAAGGUAGACAGUUGUGUGGGUUUUUAUAUCUGGCAAUUUACUGGCCACCCUCUUACAGUGAGGCUUGGCAGAUCUCUGUGACCAUUCAAGGGAUUGGAGUUUAACAUUGGAGAGUCGAAGCAGCAGAAGGCGUGAACUGUUCAUGCUACGCUUGAGGUGAGGAAAAAAUUCAGUUUGUUCUUCUCUGGAGGUUCGCCGAAUAUGUUUUCUUCUCCUUGGAAGCUUCUUAAAUGAAGGGCAUGUCAAUGAUGACAGUACUAGUUUUUCACGUAGUAGUGAGAUUUAAUCUCUCCCGCAUUCAACUUUUUUAAGAGAGGUGUUGAUUUCUUCACACUCAAAUUACGUAAGUACAUAAUGUGGAUACCAUGACGUAUUUAUUUAGCGUCAAGGAUCUAGAUCUACUGGCGGCAGGUGUUGUGAACAAUGCAAGAGGCUCCUUUUCAUCAGUUAGGGAGCUCCUGUGUAACUACUCCCUCUCGAGUAGGGUCGAAACAAUUUUCCACCUCAAUACCCAAUGAAUGUAGACAUCAAUUGAGAUUUCAAUUUAGUCAUGUGCGAUGAUUGUCAUGCUGUCGGGAACUUAUUUCAAUGGCAGUGGAGAUUUAUUAACAUGAUGCAUUUGCAUGUUUUCCAGUUGAUUCAGCUGUGAGUUGCAACGAAGCCCUGGAGGUUGAUGAUGGGAAGAUUUCCACAAACCUUGUAACCUGAGAGAACAAUAAAUGAAAGAACAAAACAGAAAGGGGCUUACUUACUUUCAGCAAGACUGAGCUAGCACAGGCUUAAGUACAUGUGUAUAGAGAUCUGAGCAUUCGGCACAAAUGUCGGAUCUCAGGUCAUCCAUAGAAUAUUCAUCGUUAGAUGAUGAAGUAGGGAUUGAUAUUCUAACACCCCCUUCACUACGAAAUCAUCAAUUUUGGUACUUACUAAGAAACUAUGUGUACUCUGUGACUCUAGCUUGUGAAGGAAUUUAUUUUGAUUGUUUUUAGAUGUUCAAGGUUCAUUUCAUCAUUGAGGGUAGAGUCUCAUACUUGGAAAAAAAUAGUUACUUGAUUUUAAGGAAGGUGUAGUAUGUGAGAGAGGAUAAAGUGAUAAUUUAUUUUCUAUUGAGUUGGAUGUGCUAAUUGAUGCCUGUAACUAUGAGCUAUGGAGAGAGAAAAUGAAAAAAGAGCUAUGGAGAGAGAAAAUGAAAAAAGAGUAGUUUUGUCAGGAUUGUGCUCCUCCUAAAGGAAUG